CAAUAGCGUAUAUUAAAGUUGUUGCAGUUAAAAAGCUCGUAGUUGGAUUUCUGAUCGAGACAUCAGGUCGGGUCCGAGAGGAUCAUGUACUUUGAUUUGUUUUGAUCAUCCUUGGGGAGAGCAUUUCUGGCAUUCAGUUGUCGGGAUUGGGAUCCUCAUCGUUUACUGUGAAAAAAUUAGAGUGUUCAAAGCAGGCCUCGGCCUCUGAAUACAUUAGCAUGGAAUAAUAAGAUAGGACUUUGGUGGUCUAUUUUGUUGGUUUGCACGCCAAAGUAAUGAUUAAUAGGGAUAGUUGGGGGUAUUCGUAUUCAAUUGUCAGAGGUGAAAUUCUUGGAUUUAUGGAAGACGAACUACUGCGAAAGCAUCUGCCAUGGAUGUUUUCAUUGA
rnacentral:rRNA from 1 species